GACCUGCGGAGGAUCAUUAUCAAAACCCCUCUGCGUACCUCUCCUGUUGCUUCCGCGGAGCAUUUUUUGCUGCGUGGGGUUGGUAACUUUGCUCUGGAUUCAAAGCUUCCAUCUGUCUGAAACCAAAACUUUCAGCAACGGAUCUCUUGGUUCUCGCAUCGAUGAAGAACGCAGCGAAAUGCGAUAAGUAGUGUGAAUUGCAGAAUUCAGUGAAUCAUCGAAUCUUUGAACGCACAUUGCGCCUUUCGGUAUUCCGGAGGGCAUGCCUGUUCGAGAGUCACUCCCUUUUAAAAAUUAAUUGAUUGGUUUUGGUUGCGUGCAUCACCACCUCACCACCGAAAUUCAGAGGCGGUUUGUCCCCACGGCGUUGUACUCAGACUAUUCGCUCGCAUCGUGGGUGCACUGCUUGUCCCCAUCCUCGGAUCAGGUAGGGAUACCCGCUGAACUUAAGCAUAUCAAUAA
rnacentral:rRNA from 1 species